AUGGAGUUUGGGCUCAGCUGCAUUUUCCUUGUGGCUGUUUUAAGAGGUGUCCAGUGUGAGGUGCACCUGGUGGAGACUGGAGGAGGCUUGGUGCACCCUGGGGAGUCUCUGAGACUCUCCUGUGCAGCCUCUGGAUUCACCUUCAGUAGCUACGGAAUGAACUGGAUCCGCCAGGCUUCAGGGAAGGGUCUAGAAUGGGUGGCAGUUAUAUGGAAUGAUGGAAGUCAGAAGUACUAUGCAGACUCUGUGAAGGGCCGAUUCACCAUCUCCAGAGACAACACCAAGAACAUGCUGUAUCUGCAAAUGAACAGCCUGAAAGCCCAGGACACAGCCAUGUAUUACUGUGCAAGAUACACAGUGAGGGAAAGUCAGUGUGAGCUCAGACAUAAACCUCCAUGCAGCAGAGGCUGCGGCCACCAGGGGAUGCUCAGGGUCCCUGAACACAAGCACCAUCCCAGCAGCAGGUGCAUGUUUCGGCUGGUUUCCUCUUCAUGUCACAGUUUCCCUCAGGGAGCCUCUGGAUUCCUGAUUUUGCCUCUGAUGUCUCUGAGUUGUAAACAGAGACAACUUUCUCAUGUGGACAAACUGCAGAAAGUCUUUCAGAGACUUAUGUGACCAAAUGCCAAUUCACCAUCAAAUUUCUUAUCUUCAUCAGCUAAAUAUAACCAGAGUCUCUCCUGACUCAGCAGUGCAGCUCAGCUCCACACAGCUCAGGGUCCCACCAGCCAGAAACAGAACUCCUGUAUUCUGGACAGCGGGCACCGGAAGACUAUGAACGCAAAGUUAGAGAAGAAGGACCCCAGUGGUGACAGUCAUUGACUUGGCAUCAUACUCAUAGCACCAAGAGCAGGUGACACCAAGUAGAAGUAGGGGGACUCACGGCAGCUUGGUAUGCAUGACCAGGGUGAUGAUAAACAUACAACAAGGGACAUGGAAUGUUUAUUAUGCACAGAGUUGAAAUCUCUGAGAAGCACAGGAAAGGCCCUUCAGGAAGUCACACCUGCAUUGAUGGAGCCAGGAAAGGAGACUGGCUCAGGGAUUUUAUUUGUUGAGUUGGUCGGGGAGGGGAAGGAAUCCUGCUUCCAGGGGCUUGUGUGGAUUCAACCUCUUAUUGACAUCUGGAGAGGAGACCCAACCUUUCUUUUCAGAUUCCUAUGUGGGGCAGAAAGGAGACAUCAGUUUUCAACAACCAAAUGAAAAAGAAAAUAAAGUAUGGCUACCUAUUUUAUUAACAAUUAUAAAA